GAUGAAGAACGUAGCGAAAUGCGAUAAGUAAUGUGAAUUGCAGAAUUCAGUGAAUCAUCGAAUCUUUGAACGCACAUUGCGCCCGCCAGUAUUCUGGCGGGCAUGCCUGUUCGAGCGUCAUUUCAACCAUCAAGCCCCCGGCUUGUGUUGGGGACCUGCGGCUGCCGCAGGCCCUGAAAACCAGUGGCGGGCUCGCUAGUCACUCCGAGCGUAGUAAUACAUCUCGCUCAGGGCGUGCUGCGGGUUCCGGCCGUUAAAAAAGCCUUAUUUACCCAAGGUUGACCUCGGAUCAGGUAGGAAGACCCGCUGAACUUAAGCACAUCAAUAAGCGGAGGA
rnacentral:misc_RNA from 1 species